UGCCAGCCGCCGCGGUAACACGGGGGGCGCAAGCGUUAUUCGGAAUUAUUGGGCGUAAAGGGCGCGCAGGCGGUUCGUUAAGUCUGAUGUGAAAGCCCGGGGCUCAACCCCGGAAGUGCAUUGGAAACUGGCGAACUUGAGUACGGGAGAGGAAAGUGGAAUUCCGAGUGUAGGGGUGAAAUCCGUAGAUAUUCGGAGGAACACCAGAGGCGAAGGCGACUAACUGGCAGAGUAUUGACGCUGAGGUGCGAAAGCGUGGGGAGCAAACAGGAUUAGAUA
rnacentral:rRNA from 1 species